GGUGGUAUAGCUCAGUGGUAGAGUACAUACUUGGCAUGAAUGAGGUUAUGGAUUCAAUCUCCAGUAACUCCA
rnacentral:tRNA from 1 species